rnacentral:pre_miRNA from 1 species
AGUGGAAUUGCUGGGUCAUAUGGUAAUUCUUUAACAUUUUGAGGAACUGCCAGACUGUUUGCAAAGCAGCUGCACCAUUUUGCAUUCCCACCAGCAGU